rfam:Acidianus hospitalis W1, complete genome.
CCCGCCGUAGCUCAGCCCGGUUUAGAGCGCCCGGCUGUAGAUAGGGGGCAGUUACCGGGUGGUCCGGGGUUCAAUUCCCCGCGGCGGGA